rnacentral:rRNA from 1 species
UAGGGAAUCUUCCACAAUGGACGCAAGUCUGAUGGAGCAACGCCGCGUGAGUGAAGAAGGUUUUCGGACCGUAAAGCUCUGUUGUUGGUGAAGAAGGAUAGAGGUAGUAACUGGCCUUUAUUUGACGGUAAUCAACCAGAAAGUCACGGCUAACUACGUGCCAGCAGCCGCGGUAAUACGUAGGUGGCAAGCGUUGUCCGGAUUUAUUGGGCGUAAAAGCGAGCGCAGGCGGAAGAAUAAGUCUGAUGUGAAAGCCCUCGGCUUAACCGAGGAAUUGCAUCGGAAACUGUUUUCUUGAGUGCAGAAGAGGAGAGUAGAAACUCCAUGUGUAGCGGUGGAAUGCGUAGAUAUAUGGAAGAAUACCAGUGGCGAAGGCGGCUCUCUGGUCUGCAACUGACGCUGAGGCUCGAAAAGCAUGGGUAGCGAACAGGAUUAGAUACCCUGGUAGUCCAUGCCGUAAAACGAUGAGUGCUAAGUGUUGGGAGGCUUCCGCCUCUCAGUGCUGCAGCUAACGCAUUAAGCACUCCGCCUGGGGGAGUACGACCGCAAAGGUUG